UACGAAGGGGGCUAGCGUUGCUCGGAAUCACUGGGCGUAAAGCGCACGUAGGCGGACUUUUAAGUCAGAGGUGAAAUCCCAAGGCUCAACCUUGGAACUGCCUUUGAUACUGGGAGUCUUGAGUUCGGGAGAGGUGAGUGGAACUGCGAGUGUAGAGGUGAAAUUCGUAGAUAUUCGCAAGAACACCAGUGGCGAAGGCGGCUCACUGGCCCGAUACUGACGCUGAGGUGCGAAAGCGUGGGGAGCAAACAGG
rnacentral:rRNA from 1 species